rnacentral:rRNA from 1 species
GAUGAACGCUGGCGGCGUGCCUAAUACAUGCAAGUCGAGCGAAUGGAUUAAGAGCUUGCUCUUAUGAAGUUAGCGGCGGACGGGUGAGUAACACGUGGGUAACCUGCCCAUAAGACUGGGAUAACUCCGGGAAACCGGGGCUAAUACCGGAUAACAUUUUGAACCGCAUGGUUCGAAAUUGAAAGGCGGCUUCGGCUGUCACUUAUGGAUGGACCCGCGUCGCAUUAGCUAGUUGGUGAGGUAACGGCCCACCAAGGCAACGAUGCGUAGCCGAUCUGAGAGGGUGAUCGGCCACACUGGGACUGAGACACGGCCCAGACUCCUACGGGAGGCAGCAGUAGGGAAUCUUCCGCAAUGGACGAAAGUCUGACGGAGCAACGCCGCGUGAGUGAUGAAGGCUUUCGGGUCGUAAAACUCUGUUGUUAGGGAAGAACAAGUGCUAGUUGAAUAAGCUGGCACCUUGACGGUACCUAACCAGAAAGCCACGGCUAACUACGUGCCAGCCGCCGCGGUAA